GUGCUUACUUUGGCAGCACAUAUACUAAAAUUGGAAGGAUAAAGAAAAGAUUAGCAUGGCCCCUGCACAAGAAUGACAUGCAAAUUCAUAAAGCAUUCCAUAUUUUU